AACGAGCGCUGGCGGCAUGCCUAACACAUGCAAGUCGAACGAGACCUUCGGGUCUAGUGGCGCACGGGUGCGUAACGCGUGGGAACCUGCCCUUAGGUUCGGAAUAACUCCCCGAAAGGGGUGCUAAUACCGGAUAAUGUCUUCGGACCAAAGAUUUAUCGCCUUUGGAUGGGCCCGCGUUGGAUUAGCUAGUUGGUAGGGUAAAAGCCUACCAAGGCGACGAUCCAUAGCUGGUCUGAGAGGAUGAUCAGCCACACUGGGACUGAGACACGGCCCAGACUCCUACGGGAGGCAGCAGUGGGGAAUAUUGGACAAUGGGCGAAAGCCUGAUUCAGCAAUGCCGCGUGAGUGAUGAAGGCCUUAGGGUUGUAAAGCUCUUUUACCCGGGAUGAUAAUGACAGUACCGGGAGAAUAAGCUCCGGCUAACUCCGUG
rnacentral:rRNA from 1 species